UACGUAGGUGGCAAGCGUUGUUCGGAAUUAUUGGGCGUAAAGGGCGCGUAGGCGGCGGGGUAAGUCGGGUGUGAAAUCUCAGGGCUCAACCCUGAAACUGCACUUGAUACUGCUCUGCUUGAGGACUGGAGAGGAGACUGGAAUUCACGGUGUAGCAGUGAAAUGCGUAGAUAUCGUGAGGAAGACCAGUGGCGAAGGCGGGUCUCUGGACAGUUCCUGACGCUGAGGCGCGAAGGCCAGGGGAGCAAACGGG
rnacentral:rRNA from 1 species